GAAGGGUUUAGGGUUAGGUUUAUGUAGGGUUUAGGGUUUGAUAGGGUUCUAGGUUUAUGUAGGGUUUAGGGUUAGGUAGGAUUUAGGGUUUUAGGCAGUAGAAAAGGUUUAGCGUUUGGUUUAGGGUUUAAGGUUUGUUUGUUUUUUUGUUUAUGCAUUUAGUGCUGAGUUUUUGGGAUAAAAUUUUAUAUUAAUAUUAUUGAUUUAUAGUUUUUCUUAAAAAUAUUAAAAAUUUUAAAGUGAUUUUUAAUGUUCUUAAAAUAUGUAUUAUUUUUUUUAGGUUUUCUGUGAUAAUAAGUUGAAUAUAUCUUAUACCACAAAUCAUAAAUAUUUUGAGUCUUAUAUAUUUUGUUCUUCAAGUUAUUGUUACUUUUAUUUCCUUUUAUACAUUUCUCUUAAUAGUUAUGUAUGCAUCCACAAUAUUUUUUAAAAAUGAUUUUUUAUUAACUAAUGUAUUUAUUGUAGUUUUAAAUAUAUUAUAGUUUUUGUGCACUUGAUUAAAUUUUUUUGGUGUUGGUGGUAUUUGAAGUGGUUGAGAACCUGAAUGGAUAUUUACUGUCAUAAAGUUUUUGGUGUAUAUUUAAAAAUAAAAAUUUGUAAAAACUUUUAAAUCAUAUGAAUAUAAUAUUCAACACACUACUGUUGACUGUUUUAUAUACUUAAAAUUUUAAAGUAGAUAAUUGCAAAUUUGCUGAACUCAUAGAUUCGUUGCUACUUUAUAAAUUAUCACAGGAUGAGGUAUAUAUGGUAAAUAUUGCUUUGAUGAUAAUAUCACGUCCAUAUCGUAAUGUGUGUUUUUUUUGUUUUAUCUAUUAUGUAUUAAGAAAUAAUUAACACAUUCAAUAAUACUAAAGAGUAAAAAGCCCUUUCAAUUGUUCAUAGUAUAAGCCCAAAGUUAAACUCAAGUCUAGCCAAAAAAAAAAAACUCAAAGACAUGUGUCGGUAUGUCAGAGAGUGACUUUCCACGUGGAUAGCUUAGGAGAGAGGCAAACAUAUUUUUAUAUAUAUAGAUUCAUUACUAAAAUAAAUAUUAAAAUAACUCAAUAUUAUAUUUUUAAUUAUAUAAUU